CGCCAAUCAGCGCCGAGGCUGAGCGGGGCUUCCGCUCCUCCUCCCUCGAGUGGGGCGCGGGAACAUCUGGGGCUUCGGAGGGUGGGCGCGUCGCUUGCGGGCUGUGUCCCGCGUCGCUGCGGCUGGGCCCGUCGGGGGCCUCCGGCCACGUCGGGGUGGGAGGGCCUGCGUGAGGGCGCUAGGCCUCGCUUCCAGGCGCGGGGCCUCCUCCAGCGAUGUGCUGUGGUAGCUAAUCUCACUGGCUGUGUUUGUAUUGAUAUAUUCACCUGCAGGGCUGUUGUUCCUGCGUGGCAUUGUUCCUCCCCAUGUGUCAUCCCCAUGGAAGGACAAAGUCUGCUCAUAUGCCAUUUCUUGUAUCAGAAAUCUAAUGUGUGGGGUGAAAGAUCUACAGAAGGUUGUAGACAAAGACACUGCACAGAUGCAGCCAUCAACAACCUGCGCUCAUUACCACUUCAUCUAGGAGAGAACUAUGAUGAUGUGUUUCAGAAAUGCAAGUUAACUCUCUUCCAUUGUGCACUGUUCACAAAGUGA
rnacentral:lncRNA from 1 species